AUGUCAGAGGGUACGAGGUACCAGUCUACAGUUGCUAAAUGGGCUCAGCUGAUUAAUGCCCCAGAAGAGCAUGACAAUGACUUGGACAUUUAUGCCAAGAAGAAGAUGGACCACAACUCAAUGUCAAACAUGUACAAGGAGAUUCCAAAUGAAGCACUUGAUACAUUCAAGUUUGGCUCAGUACACUAUCUUCUGUCAGGGCUGCCAACCAUCAACUGGAUUCUUAGGCACACCCUAUUGCCCAAGUCUGGAGAUCACAAGAUGAUCAGGGGCCACGCGAUCAACUUGCUUCAUAUCUUUGACGUGCCACAGAAAUUCAAAGUGAUGAGCCUCAUGGUAGAGACCAUUAAGAGGACAUCAGCUGAUUAG
rnacentral:rRNA from 1 species